ACCAGCAAACCAGCUCUGGUUUGCUAAAAACAAUUUCCUGCAUAGACACAGGGAUAUUUACAUUUUGGCAAGUUCCCAAGCUUUCUACUAAGAGUUAGUCACAAAAGACAGAUGGCUUCCAAAUGGACAUGCUCACACACUGUUUGUGUUCAGUUAAAUCUCUAAUGUUUCAGUCAUCCCCAUGUGAAUCUUCUCAAGAAAUACAUACAUAAAUAAACACAGGUUUUCUCUUUUAAAACCACCAAAAGGAUUAGGAGACAAAGAUUUGUUACCAUUUUUUAGGCACAUGCAUGGGCACAUGCACACACUCAUGUUUCCUUUUGGUAAUUCUGCUUCUGUAAAUGCCUCCCUGGGUGAUACUUCAGAACACUUGGACAACCCCAACAAAUCCACAUCAUUCUAAAAAGAAUUAUGAAAUGUAACGAUUAAUGUAUUUAAAGGAGUUCCUGUCCUCACCAAAAGUAUACAUCUGAUUCAUGGCUUUCUUGAUUACACUUCCCACUUGCCCUCAGAAAAGAAAUAUAAUAGCAUAAGCUAAUAGAUGAUCCACUUAAAAGUGUGAUUUGAUCAGGCUGAGCUAUAUUUUAGUUCAGUCUUCAAUCUCAAGCCUGAAAUUAGGAAUAUUUUUCACAUCAGGAGUAAGAGGAAUGCAUGAAGUGCCUCAGUGGAACAGAGCCAUAGCCUAGCACCCUGCCUCUGAUGGUGGCUAGUGCCCAGUGCUUCCAAGAAAUGUGUAGUCCUCAUGUGACGCACAGUGAGUUGAAACAACUUAUCUUGAGGGGGGUGGGGGGAAAACUUAUGGCCUGAAGCUUGAAACACAACAAAACAUAGAGAAAAGUAAAACAAUAAAAAGAUUUGUUCUGAGGUUCUAAGUCUCCUAGAAAAUGUGCUCCAUCCCCUCAGCACCUAGAGUUAAUGAGUAGGAGUAGGUGAAACACAGCAUAAUGCCAUUUUAAUUUAAUGCAGUAUCACUUUACAAUACAUUCAGGCCAUUUCACUCUCUGCACCCACAAUACCCACAGUAACCUUCAAAUCACUGUCUGGAGCAAAGGCAGCAUGUCUCUCUCUCGCUCUCCCCGUGACUAGUAUGUACACACACCUCUGUAUUAUCUAGCUCACUGUGGAUCUGAUUCAAAGCUCAGUGAAGUCUAUAAGAAGGCUUCUACUGACUUCAAUGGUUGUUGGAUCAGGCCCAGUUCUUUUUGAGAAUGUUUUCCCCAGUAUAACAGAUCUACUUCAUAUUUGAUUAAACAAAUUGUGUUUGAAGAUAUAGCUGAGUAAACAGGAAAUCAGAUAUAUUCAAACACUGACAGGAUUCACAUAGAAACAUUCCAGUAACAUAGGAAAGAAUAUCAAAGCAGUAAUAUUACCUUGUAACUCCCAUUCUGGAUAAGAUGUUCCGUCACGCUCAGCUACUUUCCUAGCAUGUCAGAGCCACUUCAAUAUUGUAUAAAAUUUGCCAUGUAUGAAGAAUGUGGGAGUAUAAUGGAUUAUUUUAUGUAUUAUUGUUAUUAUGUAUUAUUUUAUAUUUUCUGAAUAUUUCUUUACUAUCAUGCUAUCUGCUAUGUGGAUGCAAAGAGUUAAUGAUAUGCUUACCAGGUGACUUUGGCAAAGGAAAGGAGGAAACUGGAACAAAUAACUUGGAAACUGUUAAAAGAUAUCAACCUUGAAGCUGAGGGAGAGAGAUAAGAUCUUGAGCAAAGCAGGUUGGACUCCAUUCUUAGAUGCUGGGAAAACUUGGGCCUACCAAAAUCUUAAGGAAAAUGCUAACUGUAGGCUGUAUUCUCAUCACACAAAAGACACUCGCCACUUCAGAUGUCUUUUUGAGCAGGACUGAAAAGCAGACAUCAUGUUUCUAUUUUGAAUCUCAUGUGGUAUAAGGGAGAAAGAGUGGGUGGUAGGAGAAUGCCAUGGGUCCUGCCCUGGACGGAAGUGCACAGAAAUCCUGGGCUGAAUUAACAAACUAACAUGCCCAUAAGCCAGAAAUACCUCCUAUCUGUAUAUCAACAAGAAACAUGGUGGAAGAACCAGAGCUUGUUUUUGCCAGUCUAGUCAAGAAGACUUCAGUUCCUCUACAUGACUAAAACUGAGACAAUGACCAGGGAACUAUUGUAGAAAAUGGCACUUAAAAUACCUUCUGAUGACUGCAAGAUUACAAGUUGUGUAACACUGUCUGCCUGAAAUAUGGAAACGAUACUAAAAGUUGCUAGACAAAGAAAAUGAUGCAGCCUACGGUAUCUGUUCAGCUUUGAGUAACCUUGUUGAGAUGCUACAUGUAUAUUUUUUCCAUAUUGUGAUGUUAAAUAUGAGGAAAUUAGAAACAUUUGUAGACCUACUUUUAGUUACUGUGUCUGAUGCUAAAUUUUAAUUGACUAAUACAGGACUAUGUUCUGCAAAUAUUAUUUCUGUGCUACUGUCUGAAAAAGUUUGAAGCCUUUUGAGUGAGCAUAAACUGCAAGUGACUUUAGAUGGGAUAACUUAUAUUCUUGAAUCUCCUCAAACGUACAUUCAUGAGGGAAUUAUAUGAGAACAUGCAGUCAGACUUUUCGAUUUAAUCAGAGAGCCAUUUGCAAAUCUAGAACUUAAGGACUUCUGAUAGCUAGAGUACCUGAUGGAAUUUGGAUUCAUAAACCAACUGAGGAAUUAAGCUCCACCAUUUAUAUUGCUUUUUUCCAUCUGUGAUAGAUGUAGUUUUGAGAUUUUUCAUAUUAAUAGGAAAUAAUGUUUGUUGAAUGCAUUCCACCAUGCAAUCACUAUGUAACAGUCAAGGUUGCUCAAUGCAACAACCACCAACCCAACAUGAGAAAAAUCAGCAGCUAACUUGUGUUAAACACACAACACAUAAACAAUGAUUUUAUAGAAAUCUGGCCCCAUUCUACAAGUGCACAUCUCUCCUCACAUUCAGAAGCAAGUGUUUCCCCAAAACAAUCUUGAAGCUGUCACUGGAGUGAUAAGUGCAUAACAUUUUAAGAAAUCUGAGGCAAUCUUUGACAGCCAUAGCUGGUGACACUAAAUUUAAGAAAUGGAGAGAGCCUUUAAAAAUCGAAGGGGCCAGUCAAAAAGUGAGGUAAUUAAAAUCCCUUGACUCAGCCUGAAGGGAACUCAAGCAUGCCAUACGAGUCACAAAAGUCAUGCAUGCCCACUAACUACAGAGGAAACAAGAAAGCAAGAAACUCAAGUAGGAUUGAAUGUCAAACUUCAAAAGAUUAUUUAUAUCAAACAGGUAAAUAAAAGUUAAAAAUCCAGCCCUAUAUAAUAGUCAAGAACAUAAACUAUGGCUGUUAAAAUGUAACUUGGCUCAGAGGGAUUUUGAAGAGCAAAUACCCAAAUAUAUCAAAGUAGGUAAGAAAUUAGUUCAGCAAGUCAGUAUUAGGAAGCCUGUGAGAAUCAACUGGUGUACUAGAGCAGCGGUUCUCAACUGUGGGUCGCAACCCCUUUUUAAUGGGGUCGCCAGGGCUGGUGUUAGACUUGCUGGGUCCUGGGGCUGGGUCUGAAGGCUAAACCCCGAGCCCCACUGCCCGAAGUUGGAGAGCUUCAGCCCUGAGCAGCAGGGUUCAGGUUAUAGGCUCCCUGCCUGAGGCUGAAACCCUUGGGUUUCAACUUUGUCCCGCUCUCCCAUGCAGGGCAGGAUGGGUCUCAGGCUUUGGCCUUCCCAUCCAGGGCGGUGGGGCUUGGGAGGGCUCAGGCUUCAGUUUCCUCUCCUGGGGUCGUGUAGUAACUUUUGUUGUCAGAAGGAGGUUGUGAUGCAAUGAAGUUUGAGAACCCCUACCAUGGAGUUAAGGGAAAGGGUGCAAUGGUGAAAGAUAACUACACUCUAGAGAUUUCUUCACCCCAGAGGUUUCUUUGCAGCAGCGUUCAUUACAGAGGAGAUACCUACCCUGGGUACUCUUUUCAAAUAAUAAAGAUGAAAUGCUGUCAGAGACAGUGCAGCUGAUGGAUGAUCAAGCCAGUUGUUGCUCAGGAAGUUCAUGCUGUGGUCAAGUUGUAAACUGAACUCAGUACACUGAAGAUGGCUUUGAAAUGUGCAAAAUUACAGGAGAUGUAUCUGUUGACCUGUUGGAUGCUUAUGACACUGUGAACCAUUGUACACUUUUGUUAAAACUGGCAAGAAUUCUGAGAAAUAGCAAGGUGCUCUAGGUCACCUCCUCCCUGCUCAAGCAUCAAUAUUCCUUUGUUGAAAUGGAUGAUCAGAAGUCAAUGGAAGGAUUACCCCAAGGUUCAGUACUAUUACCUUUGCUGUUUAAUGUCUAUACAACUGCCCAACCAGAACUCCCCAAUGCGCAAAGAUUCAUUUGUGCAGAUGAUCUUUGCAUCAUCACCCAGUUGGAAAGAUUUGAGGACACUGAGCACAUUCUAACUAGUACCCUGAAUGUGCUUGGAAAAUGCUACUGCACAUGGUUCCUAAAUGCCAACCCUAGCAAGACACAAGAGCGUGCCUUCCAUCUAAAAGUCAGGCCAAGCAACAACUCUAGAUAUAGUGGGAUAGUAAAACAGUACAAUCCUUGAGCACUGUGAACAUUGGGUAUACUUUGGGGUCACAUUAGAGCAAAUGCUGACAUUCAAAAGAACACAUCAAGAAGUUUAAAAAGAAAGUGAA